GACGGAGGGUGCAAGCGUUGUUCGGAUUGACUGGGCGUAAAGGGCGUGUAGGCGGUUGAUCAAGUCUGGUGUGAAAGCCUGAAGCUCAGCUUCAGAAGUGCAUCGGAAACUAGUCGACUGGAGCGCGAUAGAGGAGGGUAGAAUUCCUGGUGUAGCGGUGAAAUGCGUAGAUAUCAGGAGGAAUACCGGCGGCGAAGGCGGCCCUCUGGAUCGUUGCUGACGCUGAGACGCGAAAGCGUGGGGAGCAAACAGG
rnacentral:rRNA from 1 species